rnacentral:rRNA from 1 species
GAUGAACGCUGGCGGCGUGCCUAAUACAUGCAAGUCGAGCGAACGGACGAGAAUCUUGCUUCUCUGAUGUUAUCGGCUGACGUGUGAGUAACACGUGGUUAACCUACCUAUAAUACUUUGAUAACUUCGUGAAACCGUUGCUAAUACCGGAUAAUAUUUUGAACCGCAUUGUUCAAAAGUUAAAUACGUUCUUUCUUUCACUUAUAUAUGGAUCCGCGUUUCAUUAGCUAGUUGGUAAGGUAACGGCUUACCAAGGCAACGAUGCAUAGCCGACCUGAGAGGGUGAUCGGAGACACUGGAAGUGAGACACGGAAAAGACUACUACGGGAGGCAGCAGUAGGGAAUCUUACGCAAUGGGCGAAAGCAUGACGGAGCAACGCCGCGUGAGUGAUGAAGGACUUCGGAUCGUAAAACUAUGUUAUGAGGGAAGAAAAAAUGUGUAAGUAACUGUGCACAUCUUGACGGUAACUAAUCAGAAAGCAACGGCUAACUACGUG